rnacentral:lncRNA from 1 species
CUUUCUUUGAUUGAAAUUGAAAUUUUGACUGCAAUGAAAAUAUACACAAAAUUAAAAAAUAUAUAUAUAAUAAGAUGGUUAUAUAAACAUAUGUAAACAGUGUAAAAUGUGUCAAAUACCAUGGCAAAAGACAAAGCUUCAUUUUUUAGUGAAUUGGCAUUCGUCUCCAAUUAAUAUAGUUUAGAGGGCAGAAUUGACCAUUUCGUGCAACUAUUCUGCAAAAACCAACGAGCAACCUUGCCUCCUUAUUUAUGGGUUUCCCUCUUUUGUUAAAUCGAACUUGAAUACGCCAAUUCUCAUCCAUUUCCCAUAUCUCCUUUAAUGUUGUACGACCUCUCUUUCUUUCUCUUUUUCCAUCGUCAUGA